GACGGAGGAUGCAAGCGUUAUCCGGAAUGAUUGGGCGUAAAGCGUCCGCAGGUGGCAGUUCAAGUCUGCUGUCAAAGACCGGGGCUUAACUUCGGAAAGGCAGUGGAAACUGAACAGCUAGAGUAUGGUAGGGGCAGAGGGAAUUCCUGGUGUAGCGGUGAAAUGCGUAGAUAUCUGAAGGAACAUCAGUGGCGAAAGCGACUUCCUGGACCAAUACUGACGCUCAUGUGCGAAAGCGUGGGGAGCAAACAGG
rnacentral:rRNA from 1 species